CGACCAAAUUGCAAUAGAUAAAAAAGAAAGAAAUGAGAAAUGGUGGUGCGCGGAAGUCGGCGACAACGACAACCCUGAGUCGGCGGUGGGAAAAGCCUAAAACAGACAGAAAAGCUUAGAGAGAAGUAAGAGGAGAUCAGAAAUAUGGGGUUUUUGAGACUGAGAAGCCUGCUUCACCCUUGUAAUUGCAUCAUCAAUAACAUGGUUGCUGCUAAUAAAUUUACAAUCUUUAAACGAACCCUAAUUACAACUACACCAUUUGUCAAUUCAUCAUUUGCCACUUCGCCCCCUUGGUCCCUAUCACAGCGUCGUGGUGUCAAAGUUCUCGGCUCUGAGGUCAGAACUGGGCAGAUUGUCCAAAGAAAGGGCCGCAUUUAUCAGGUUCUAAAAGCACAACACACUCAACAUGGAAGGGGAGGAGCAUCAAUUCAGAUCGAGCUUCGAGAUGUUGAUAGUGGAAACAAAGUCACUGAAAGAUUUCGUACGGAUGAAGCUAUUGAAAGGGUAUAUGUUGAAGAGAAGACUUUCCAAUACUUAUAUGCAGAAGGAGAUAUGGUAGUGUUAACAGACCCUGAAACAUUUGAACAGUUAGAAGUGCCAAAAGAAUUGUUUGGAAAAUCUGCUGUCUACCUAAAAGAUGAUAUGACUGUUAAAGUGCAGUAUUAUGAUGGGAGACCAAUGUCUACAACAGUACCUUAUCGUGUUACCUGCACUGUUGUUGAAGCACAAGCUCCCAUGAAGGGCCUCUCCGUGAAUCCUCAAUGAUUUCUUACAAGAGAUGGGUGUUGGUCAGUUGGUGCUUUAAUUUUGAUAUUCUGAAAUUCUGCAUUUGAUGAUGAGUUGCAACUGUGGGGAAAUUGUUGCUGCGUGUUUAUCUUUCUAGUAUAGUACACUCUAGUGCAUAGAUCACGGCUCAAUAAUUGUAUUUCAAUGAUAGUAGAGGGUAUAAAAAGGUUUUGCUGGAUAAUGGGCUGACAGUUCUUGCACCUCCAUUCAUUGUAACUGGUGAUGAAAUUGUCGUCAGUACAGCAGAUGAUUCAUAUCUCACAAGGGCAAAGUAGGAAAUUGUACAGCCUGAAAUUCGGCAUACAAAGUUUUCCCAUGAAGAGUUCGCUGUGAAGGUUUUGUAGGAAUGUAUAAUUGUGACAGUAUUCAACAUGAUAUAGGAUGAACUUAGAUACUCCAAUAAACAUACUUUCAUGCUAUUCUACAAUUUUGAUUUUUCUCUUGGAAGGUUGUCUGUUUUCCUUUUGCUUGGAAGGAUCUAGCUGCAAUCAGCAUUUGUAGUGGCUUCUUGUUUCCAAAUGAUUUGUUAGUUACCUGUAUAAACCUAUCUUUCAUCUCGAGUUGCAUCGUAUUUUCAGCAGAA